rnacentral:antisense_RNA from 1 species
CCAACGACCAAAGCAAAGGACAGCAGAACUGACUGACACAUUGCUCAGAAAAUAUCCAAAGCUCUGUAUGCUCUGGAAAGGAAGGCAAGAAAUACUAAAGACUCUGGAUAUUGCUCUGUUUCUAUAAGGUCCCACCCAUAUACCAUCUCUUCUUUUGGAUUUCCUUUGGCAGCUAUACUUGGCCCCAAGGUUUCAACCUCAGACUGAAGAAAGUGACAUAAGAAAACACAAGUCCCAGUGCUAUCAGGGGCUAUCUGGAAAAGCUGCUUAAACAGCAAGUGAAAGAAGGCUCUCCCCUACCCCGUUCUAGACGGAGUUCCACUCUUGUUGCCCAAACUGCAGUGCAAUGGCACAAUCUCGGCUCACGACAACCUCCGCCUCUCAGGUUCAAGUGAUUCUCCUGCCUCAGCCUCGCAAGUAGCUGGGAUUACAGACUCACCCUGAAGUUAUUUGAAGGAUCCUUGAGACUCUUUUGGAUUGCUGCUUGGAGAACAUUCCUGUAACUUGUCCCUGCUCCUUGAACUAUAAAAGCAGAAGGGAGGUACUGAGUUAAAACUUAUAAAUUAUUAUCAAAUAAAUCUUCAAUAG